GCCACCGUACCCGGCCAUAGAGCAGCCUCUUCCUUUUCCUGUUGGGUCUCUGCUCAAAUGUCAUGUCAGAGAGGCAGACCUCUGGGGCGGUCUAUCUGAGGGAAUGCACCCAUCUCCCUUCCUCUGACCAGUUAGUUACCUUGCUUAUUCUUUCAAAGCUCUUACCACCACCUGAAGUCAUCUAUCUGGUUUGGUUAUUUUAUUGUUUAGUAGCAGUCUUUAUUUUAUUAUCAUUAUUAUUUUUUGAUGGAGUCUCACUCUGUUGCCCAGGCUGGAGUGCAGUAGCAUGAUCUCGGCUCACCAGAACCUCUGCCUCCCAGGUUCAAGCGAUUCUCCUGCCUUAGCUUCCUGAGUAGCUGGGACUACAGGCACGUGCCACCAUGCCCAGCUGAUUUUUGUACUUUUAGUAGAAACGGGGUUUCACUAUGUUGGCUGGUCUUGAACUCCUGACAUCAAGUGAUCCGCCCACCUCGGCCUCCCAAAGUACUGGGAUUACAGGCAUGAGCCACCACGCCAGGCUGGUAGCAGUCUUUCCUAGAAUGUGGAUGCCUUGGAAAACAGGGGCUCUGCCUUGUUUCCCUAGAACCUAGAAUGGCAUCUGGCACACAGCAGAUGCUACAUCUAUUGUAAAUGAAUGAAUGAAAGAAGUGUCCUUGCAGCCACACUGGCAGCCGUAACAUAGUGGUUAUAAAUCUAGACUCUGGAGUCUCAAGUGCAAAUGUCAUUGGCCUCUCCUCCAGCCUCCUCAAGGGGCACUCAAUGACUGGAAGUGCCCUGAUAUGACUGUGGUUGGACUGACAUGACUGCCAGAUGGUGGGACUUGGUCUGGAGCAGAGACUACUUGGAAUGGUAGAGGCAAAACUCAACAGCCCCUGGAGCUGCGCUUGUGGUGGAGCUGGACCCUGAUUUUAGCUGGACCUUGUUUUUAGAGACAGGGUUUCCUUCUGCAGUCUCAAUCUCCUAGCCUUGAUUGAUCCUCCUGCCUUGGCCUCCCAAAGUGCUGGGACUACAGGUGCAUGCAACCACACCUGGCUAAUUUUCUUCUCUUCUUUCUUUUCUUUUUUUUUUUUUUGAUGGAGUCUUGUUCUGUUGCCCAGGCUGGAGUGCAAUGGUGCCAUCUCGGCUCACUGCAACCUCUGCCUCCCGGGUUCAAUCCAUU
rnacentral:lncRNA from 10 species